rnacentral:lncRNA from 1 species
AUGGGCCUCGGGCCGGCCCGGCCCUUGGGGAUGGCGGGGAAGGUCAGAGCGGCUCCGCGCAGCCGGGCGGGCCCCAGGCUGAGAAGCCGCCCCUCGGGCCUCGGGCGGUCGGCCGCGGGCCCGCAGUGCGGGGGAGCGGGGCCGGGGGGCGCAGAUGGCGGCGGGCGCGAGCGAGGGCUGGGCAGCGGGCAGGGCGAGGCCCCGCGGGAGCCGGACUCCCGAGCCAGGCUCCAUUGUUGUUGGAGCCGAGAAGGGGGAGCGCGGCCGCCCUCGUCGCCCGUGGAGCCGCGCCUUGGAGCCCUUCCAGGCGGGUCCCUGGAGAGGCGGUCAUGGCCGCGCCAGGGGACCGGGGAGCCGGGCGGCUGCGGAGGAGCCGGCUGCAUGGGGUGCUGUGUGUUUUUCAGGGCACCCUGCGUCCGGCAGAGGAGGCGAGCAUCCCGCUCAGGUGAUGAGGAACCCCUCGCGCACCCAGCGCAGAAGGCUGCUGCGGCCGGACGCCUCCAUUGUUUGACCACAAGGGCCGGAUUCUCACCCAGACCUGCAAAUCCAAGAGACACAUCUCUGGAAGAUAAGCGAGCUUCUUCCUCAAGACCAAAAAAGGAGAUGGCAUGAUACCCAUGUAGGGAAUUCCCCAAAGCAAGGCUUGCCAUACCUGGACCCCGAGGAGCCUGCUUGCUGGAAAGGCUUUUGUGUCUGAUGUGCAGGAGGCAGAAUGCCAAACUGACUCUUCAAGGGGCAACCGCAGGGGCUCGAGACCAGCCAGCAGUAUCUCAUCCUUCAAUACAGGGGAUAUACUGUACAGUCCUUUUUCUAGAAGUGAGAAGUACAAGAUUGCUCUACAAGAGGAAGAUUCUAGGGGCUCAAAAACAAAAAG